AUAAGAUCACCCCUGAGCCUCCUCUUCUCCAGCAGCUUAUUUUAAGCCAAUAUCCAGGCUAAAUUUAAGGUUGUAUUCAACAUAAACAUAAUGAUAACAUUAGAUGGGGUGCUGGCAGAGUUCUGGUGUGGGACAGGGGACAUCUCUGUUCAUUUGCCGUGACAGACAGCAGACACUAAGACCGACCUUGAUUAAAACAGCUUGUUUUGGUUCCCAUCUGUGAAAGGGAGCUAAUAUCUUCCUGCCACAGAGGCAUGACUUGAGAAUAAUGUUUAUUCGUGCCCCUGAGACAGUUAGUCAGUGAGGUUUACAUAGAUGCUUGAUAGUUUCACCAGCUGUAACACCAAGCAGUGACACAGGCUAUGAACAGUGUGCCUAGGAAGGAGGUAUUCCACCUACUAGAAGAAGUCAUACCUGUGCAGCACCUAAGAGUAUAGCUAAAUUCCACCUAUAUUCUAUUUAUAUAAUCAUAGAAUAGAAUCAUAGAAUCAGUCAGAUUGGAAGGGACCACAAGGAUCAUCUAGUUCCAAUCCCCCUGCCAUGGGCAGGGACACCUCACACUAGAGCAGGCUGUCUAGAGCCUCAUCCAGCCUGGCCUUAAACACCUCCAGAGAUGGAGCCUCAACCACCAUAAAUUUGUAUUUAUAUCUCUGUUAUUUUUCCCAUAUCCACUUUCUGUUCCAUGCUUUUCAGUUGUGUUGCAUUUACUCUUUCUAAUGUUUUGGAGUUUGAGUUUUUUUAACCUUGUAAAGGAAGAAUGAUUGAGACUGUCCACAAAGCCUUACAGUGGAAGAAGAUUCAGAGGAAAUGGACAAGGAGCCAUAUCCAUGAAGCUCAGGGAAUAACGUGGGAUUUGACUGACCACAGCUGUUGCAAAGAAGCUAGCUUAUCUCAGCACCAAAGGGAGCAGAGAGAGGUUGGCCUCUGGUUUAGGUAAACAGUAACCAAGAGUUGAGUGAAUCAGCUGGUGGUGGAAAUGUUUUUCCCUGAGUUCAUUAGAAGAAUCACAGAAUAUUAGGGGCUGGAAGGGACCUCAAAAGGUCAUCCAGACCAACACCCCCUGCCAUAGUAGGAUCACUCUUUUUUUACAGUCCAGUUUUCUUUUUUCUUUUGUUAUUCCACUUCUCCCCCAUCUUCCUCCUUUCCUCUUCAUCUCUGCCAUCUUCAUCCUUUUCUUUCCAUCUCCUUCCUCUUCAUCUCCUUCUUGUCCCCACAUCCAUCUCCAUUGUUUUCCUCUCCACCUCCCUUAUUCAGCCCCACUUCCCCUUUUCCUCCAUACCUGCCCCCUUCCCACCCCACACCUCAUUUUGCCCUUUUCUCCCCAGAUUCAGAGCACCUGGGUUCUGUUGGAGUCUCCUCCCACCCCAGGUGUGAUCACUUUCCCCUCCCUGCCCACUCCCCUACUUAAUGGCCCCAGGAAAGGCAGAAGCUCCAAGCUUGCCCAACUGGGCAGAGGGAUCCUCAUCCCAUCCUCACUGCUGACUCCUUAUCUAGCUUCCUAUAUCUCAUCCCCUGCAUGUAAGAGAUUCUGAAGUAAGGGAGGCAGGAUGGAAGAAAGAGUAGUUGGUUUGAAAGCCCUUUUGGGCAGUUCUGCUGUUCAGGAGGGGUUUCUGUAUUACCUUUAACUUGUAUGUAGUUCUGGCUGAGUUAAUCUGGUGAAUUCAUGGGGAACCAAGAAACUCCUGAACUACCACACCAACAUAUGCCUUCCUGGCAGCUGGAGGUACAGAGUGUCACUAUGGUGAUCACAUUAUAGAGACCAGUAAAGGGAAUAGCAUUGGCAUUGUGGUUGAACUGUGUAUUACAAUUGCUGUAUGUGCAUUUUGCCAAGUGUAACUUCCCUGUGUGUUGUGCUGUGCAAUAUAUCUUGUAUCCCUCUGCUGAAGCAGAAAUCUCAUGUAACAUAGCCUUUCAAUAAAUGAAUUUGUUGUUAAGCAUUA